CUAGUGUUCUGAAUUGGUCGUUGUUUUAACGUGUGCUGCUUAGACCGGUCCCAUUUGUCCAUUUUGUUAUCUACCAAAUAGGACGACUUUAUAAAAAUCAAAUGAAAACUAGGGGCUUUGGUCAAAGGAAAUUAGAUUAGAAUCAUAGAAAAGCAGAGCUGGAAAGGACGUCAGGAGUUCAUCUAGUCCAAGCCUCUGCUCAGGUAGGAGGGGAACUAGACUGAUACCUAAAAAGAAACUGUCUUGCAAUUUCCUCCCAAAAAAUCACUAGAUCACUAUGCUGCUUUGUUAUCUGUCGAGCAGAACUGGAAUGUAAACACAACCCGUGCCUCCACUCUACCAUUGCUGGGCCUGCAGACCAACAAAACAGAGCAUACUAUAGGGAAGAGAGAAGAAGGUGGAUCCAAUCACAAAGAUACAAUUUGGAAUGUGGAAGACCUUGGGCAAGCUACGUAGGGCCAGAUCCUGCUCCACCUAUGAAUCACUGAAGUGUAAGUAGAUGCCUAUGUCUGAUCCUAUUUCACCCUGCUCAAACCCCUGAAAAACCACUAAUGCAUGUACUUCUGUAAUGGGUCAUUAUCUUAGUUUUAGCCUUAAAGCUACCUCACGGUAAGCAGGAGUUUUUCAGGCACUUGAGCAAGGUGGAAUUAGAUUACAUUUAAGUGCUGAAGUAUACUUAAGUGCCUAAUAGAUGGUCUCUCUCUGUCUCAGUUCCUUGUUUGUAAAAUAAGGACAGUUAGGUGGUAUAGACAAUAUGAAACUAAGGCACUUGCAUACUAUGGAAAUGAGGUCUGUAUCAAUACCUUAAAGAGAGAAAAGAAUCCAUACCACUGCAAAACCUAUGGACUGAGGUAUCUGGGAGUCCACUGCAUUGAUUUCAAUAUCAGCUUUUAUAUCAUGGUAGAGAUGGGCAAAUACAGUUUUGCACAAAACGCAUCUAACAAGCAAAAAUGUCUCUGUAGUGUGAAUGUCAGCCAACUAAUGACAUAGAUGGUUGUAGGCUGUAAGAGUCAAUUGGACAUUUAUGUUGCUAGGA